AUGCGAUUGAUUUUGAAUCCUCCUGUGUUGAGAAGAAACAAAUGGAAGACUAUGGAGGAUCAGAAAACGAACCCGUCGAGGGAUAGGGGCAGUACGGAACAACUGCUCCACCACCCUUGCCAACAACGCCGUGUACUCCUCCAUCACCUCCGCCACGAUCGCCACCAAUAUCAUAUUUAUCGUUUUUCGUUCGGGUCGGGUUGA